UUCUGAGUUAGGGUUAACAAGAUGUAAAAACUUAAAAUGUUUUGUCCUACGUUCACCAUGGUGUUCCCUCUAAUAUGACUCAUAAGAAUGGAUGGUAAAGAAAGUCAGCAGCUGAAAUAUCACAGAAAAACGGCAGCAGAAGGGAAAACCUUUUUACAAUUUGUUUGCUUUUUGUGAAAAACGGUAGUCAUAUUCAUCAAGGUGGAAAAAUAUGACAGAAUGUGGCCCGAGUGCUACAUUUAUGGCACAAGGUUUUUCAGUAGUUAUAUUUUCAUGAAUUGUAUAAAUCAUGUUUAUAGAAGAUUUUGUUUCCAACAUUUUCCGAUUGAAAAAUGGACACUUAAGAAAGUCUGGACUUUAAAAUGAUUGUUAUAAUGCCUUAUGUUAUAUAUAUAUAUGUACUAAACUAACCUGCCACUGUCAAUCAAUACAAGAAACGAUCACUCUGUUUCUUGAAAAUCUGUAUCUUACAGGCUUGUAUAGUGUAUAUGUAUAUUGGUGUUGUUACCAGUCCUUGACAUGAUUUAGAUUGAAGGCUUAACCUAAUGCUUUUACUGACUUAUAUAAAGCCUGUACACUGUUAUAUCUAGCAGGAUGUGAACUAUUAUAAUAAAUAGAUUCUACAGUUUUAUCCA